GUUCCAUCAUUCCCAGGACCUGUCAUGUGUCAUGAUCCUUGCUUAGAAACUAGAGAUAGUAGCCAUUGCAGAGGAGAGGUUAAGUUUCUUCUCUGUCAAGUCAAGUCAAAGAGCAAGCCCUGUAAGAGCUCAGUGAAGUCAGUGAGAGUGUUUCCUAUCAGAUUCAAUUUCCUGAGAGCCCAUCUAUUACAUCUCAGAGGAGAACAUAAGAGGUGGUUUGGAUAUGUUCAUCCUGGAAGAAACACUGCUCUUACUGAACGAAAAAUGAGAAUUGAGUAGAACAAAUUCACACUUGGAUUACAUGAGUUUUAUCCACAAGGACAUUUCAUCCUGGUUUUCAGACAUGGUGAAGUAGAGGUCAAAGGCUUGCUCUCUAUCUGUCAGCUGACUUGUCAAAUGCAUCUUCCUCUUCCUAAAAUAAUUUCUGAAGCU